GACGAACGCUGGCGGCGUGCUUAACACAUGCAAGUCGAACGGAAAGGCCCCUUUGGGGGUACUCGAGUGGCGCACGGGUGAGUAACACGUGAGUAACCUGCCCUUGACUUCGGGAUAACUUCAGGAAACUGGGGCUAAUACCGGAUAGGAAUCCUUGCUUCAUGGUGGGGGUUGGAAAGCUUCGGCGGUUUUGGAUGGGCUCGCGGCUUAUCUGCUUGUUGGUGGGGGAGUGGCGUACCAAGGCUUUGACGGGUAGCCGGCCUGGGAGGGCGACCGGCCACCAUGGGACCGAGAGAAGGCCCCAGAGCCGAACGGAGGGAAGUGGGGGGAAGAAUGCCCAAGCGGCGGAAGCCCAGUGAAGCAGGGCCCCGGUCCGGAAUACCGCCUUCCGGGUGGAAACCGCAUUCAGCAGGGGCGAAGCUUGUGGUGACGGUACCUGCAGAAGAAGCACCGGCUAACUACGUG
rnacentral:rRNA from 1 species